CCGUCAGGAAGUGUCUCCGAUCAUCCAUAGAAAGGCAAUAUUCUUUAUUUUUUUAGCUUAACACUGUGUAGGAGGUAUACAAAUUUUGGGAGAAGAUAUGAUUGGGCAGACAAUUUUAAGAUGGGUCUGUCGCGAGCAAAACAAGAAGAUAAACCUCUAAUGAUGGUUAUUCAUGCCACCGGAUGUCCAGCAUGUCGGAAGCUAAAGACAGACUUUGCGAGUGAUAAAAAACUUUUAGAACUCAGCAAAAAUUUCGUAAUGUUAAAUACGGAGGAUGAUGAGGAGCCUAAAGCGAGAAAAUUUCAGAUAGACGGACUCUAUUUUCCCCGAAUUCUUUUCUUCUCACCGUGUGGGAAAGUGUUGAAGGAAGUAAUCAAUGAGAAACGCGAAAACGAAGACUGCAAAUAUUACUAUUCCACCGCCAUGGAUAUUACGAAAUCUAUGCAGAAAGUCUUGAAGAUGUAUAGAAAAAAAAUUUCAUUUGCAACUGUAUACGAUUUUCUUAAAAGAGACUCCAUCCAAAGCAUCAGCUUUCAUUAAGAGCAUUUCACGUGGAAGAUGGAUAAAUGAGGUGAGAAUUGAAAUCAUGAUGUUUCUAAAAAUGAAGAGGCCGACCCGACAAAAAGCAUAGAAAAAUAUGAAGGAACAAAAAAAUCAUCUUAAUAACCAACUGAAAAUUACAAGACAUCGACACGACCCAAGAGGUGUGAAUGGAAUGGAAUACGAAAUGAUUUCUCUAAGCACUCUGCAAAAAGUUUAUACGUUUUGCGAGAAUGUUCAGUAAAAAAUUUGGUGAAUGACAAAAAAACCGAAGAAAUUCAAACAAAUUAGAGAAAAAAAUUGUGUACCUAAUUUAUGUUCCUCUUUUACACACAAUACGUGCUUGGAUAUUCAAAAAUGCAUCUUUUUGAACUUUUGGUCUUUUGGUCAAAAAUACGUGUGAAAAAGAAAGAAGCAAAAGGUGCAAUUGUUCACCGAAUAUCGGAAGAGACUUUCCAAGUUGGUAUUUUUAACAAGAAACAGUCAAAUAGCAGCACUUUUGUGAACGAAUACCACUAAUCUAAGAAAAUAAAGAGUCUUACCUAUUGCUUGAAAUUCCAUCUUGAUUAACAUUCACAUCCUUUGCACCGAGGGUCUCCGUCGUAUUACCAACUGUGUCUGAAAAACAAAUCAAGAAAAAAUGUUCAGAAUUUCUAAAUUAAUUUAUACCUGAGGAAAGAGAGAAAAUCUCCGAAACAUUUUAUAUUAAAAUUAUAUAUGUAUGUAUAUGGAAAAUUUGGAAAAGGUAAUUUUCUAUCCAGCAAUUUAAUCUGACUGAGGCAUAUUUGUUUUAAUAGUUCAGAAUAAGUAAUAAAAAUCCUUGCUCUUUCACCUAUCAAGGGCACAGUCACAAGAGAAGGUCCCCAAAAAAGGUAAAUGUUCAGAAAAUUCAGGCUUGUCUUUAGAAAUCAAAACUAAUUAUUUUUAGGCUAUUUUUUACAAUAAAAAAGAAAAA